rnacentral:rRNA from 1 species
GACGAACGCUGGCGGCGUGCUUAACACAUGCAAGUCGAACGGAAAGGCCCUGCUUUUGUGGGGUGCUCGAGUGGCGAACGGGUGAGUAACACGUGAGUAACCUGCCCUUGACUUUGGGAUAACUUCAGGAAACUGGGGCUAAUACCGGAUAGGAGCUCCUGCUGCAUGGUGGGGGUUGGAAAGUUUCGGCGGUUGGGGAUGGGCUCGCGGCUUAUCAGCUUGUUGGUGGGGUAGUGGCUUACCAAGGCUUUGACGGGUAGCCGGCCUGAGAGGGUGACUGGCCACAUUGGGACUGAGAUACGGCCCAGACUCCUACGGGAGGCAGCAGUGGGGAAUAUUGCACAAUGGGCGGAAGCCUGAUGCAGCAACGCCGCGUGCGGGAUGACGGCCUUCGGGUUGUAAACCGCUUUCGCCUGUGACGAAGCGUGAGUGACGGUAAUGGGUAAAGAAGCACCGGCUAACUACGUG